CAAGGGAAAAUGGCAGAAAUGUGGGAACGUGACUGGACGUUGCCUAGAGUCCCAGAAAAUAACACAGGGAAAUCAUCUAAUUGUUGUACGCUUCUGGAGGACUUGGCCAAGCCGAGAGUAAAUGUAAUGCUGGGCGGGGUCUGGAGAUCAGUGUGUCCAGCCUCCCAUUUUACAGAGGGUGAAACUGAGACCCAGGUGUGGGGUGGCAGGUGGAGGUUGGACUGGAGGUGGACGGCCAAGCCAGGGCAGAAUGCAGGUGUCAGAAUGCCCAAGGCCAGGCCUUUCCAUGCUGCCCCAGUCUCCCUAGGCCUGGGGAGUGUUGGGCGCCCCACCGCAUGUCAUCACUUCUCUCCCACAACCCAGCUGGUGGGAGGAGGGCAGGAGGAUGAGGGGGGGACCCCACACGACAGGCUGGGACAUUCCCACUUCUCCUGUGGGCGGGUCCUGGGACCACACGUGCUCAAAAUGCACCUUAAGAAGAGAACAAAUGUACCCAUUGCCUGGCAGAAACUAUGGUGUCUGGGAGGCCCAGUUUCCUGUCCCUCUCUUCUCCUUUCCCCAGCACCCACCAGCUGCACCCACCAGCUCAGCCUCCUGGGUCACCGGGUCACGGUGGUGUGACCUCUGCCAGCAUUCAGUAUAAAUUUGACCAUGGACAUGACUUUCACAAGGGAACCAGUCGCCCACAAAUGGCUCUACUCCCAAUACUGUGUCAACCUGGCAGUGUGUGUGUGUGUGUGCGUGUGCAUGUGUGUGUGUGCGGAAGAUUACCUCUUUUCUGAGCCCUUAUGGAGCCAGCAAAGGCUCCACCAGUGGAGAAUCUCCCUGAGGGUGUUCCCAAGGGCACAGUGGGACUCCUGCCCACGAGGGAUCCCUCUGGGGGAAAGUCUGCAGCUUUUCCCCUGGGAGCUGGAGCAGGGGAGCAGGUCCUCCACGAAGGAGGAAGAACAGGCCCAUUGCCACCCUGUGCCACCUGCUGGAUGAACAAGCAAGCCUAGGGGCCUCUGGGUCCUCAGAGAGAGAAUGGAACUUGCUGAGGAUGCAAACUGCGUGCUCUCAAUCCCUGAGGGCAUCCUGAAAAUGCAGAUUCCUGGGCCCUGUCAUUCAGGGCCCAAUUCAGCAGGUCUGGGGAGGGGCCCCGGAAUCUGAGGUGUAUGAUCUAUGCAUCACGCCUUGAGAAACUUUGCUGCAAACCUUCAUUUUCCUCCAGAAGACACAAGCAGUAAGCCAGUUUCCUGGAGUGGAUGGGGUUAGAUAAAGGGGCCUGUCCUCUUAUUUUCUGGGAAGCCUUGAGCUCUGAGCCUCAGUUUCCCUUUUAAUUAACGGGCAUGCUAACUGGCUUAUGAAUGUGCUGAAAAAUGCAUUUUAAUUUAAUGUAUUAAACGUACUCUAUUCUGCCUUUCCCAGAAAGAGUUUUAAGUGGCUUGCAAAGGUAAUAUAAAUUAGAAGUAAAAGAGAAAGAAUAUUGAAAAAUUAGGGAAGGCCCAAAAUACAAGUCAGUAAUGCAUGUCAGCCACAAACUACAUAUUGGUUCUCCCCGGGGAUGCCUGGUAAACUCACCUGAGGGCGUUUAGAAAUCCUGCAGCCCUAGCCCCAGCCCAGAUUGCUUACAGCCCUAUCUCUGAGGGUGGCGCCCAAGCCUCAGGGUUUUAAGAGUUACCCAGGGUUCCAGUGUGUAGCCACGGCUGAGAACCAGUGGUUUCAGCUUAAAGGGAUCUUGCGCCAUCUGCUCUUGUCUAAUACAACUUCUUAAUAAGUCUACCUUUGUUGCUGAGUUUUAAUCUCAUAAGGUGUCUUUGCUAAACUGGAAAUGAAAAAUAAGAAAAAGUGUGUCUUGGGGCUUCCCUGGUGGCGCAGUGGUUAAGAAUCCGCCUGCCAAUGCAGGGGACACGGGUUCGAGCCCUGGUCCGGGAAGAUCCCACAUGCCGUGGACCAACUAAGCCCGUGCGCCACAACUACUGAGCCUGUGUGCCACAACUACUGACCCCGUGCGCCUAGAGCCCAUGCUCCGCAACAGGAGAAACCACCGCAACAAAGAGUAGCCCCCUGCUCGCCACAACUAGAGAAAGCCCAUGUGCAGCAAUGAAGACCCAACGCAGCCAAAAAUAAAAAAAGAUGAAUAAAUAAAUUUAUAAAAAAAAAGAAAGAAAGUAAAAGUGUGUCUUGGAGGUGCCUAAGACUUUGGGGUCUUGGGGGCUGCUUUCUCAGCCAUGCCCAAAUGUCACACCCUCCGGUUAAAAUUGCUGAAGGCACCAUCUGGCGAACACCGAGCCCAGAUGCUGGAGCCACUUUCCAUGCUACGGACAGGCAGGGCAUCCUGGCAGGUGGCUGCGUGCGGAAGGCCUAGGGAAAUUCACAUCAGAUCCCCAAGCAGCCAAGGGAGGACAGUGUGGAGAGAGCCACAUGCCACCUGCCCGGGGAGUGAGUGCAGCACGGGGGGCUUGCCUGGCCAUGGGCCCUGCCAGGUGGCAGGAGCUGCUGGGAAUCGGCUUUACCCUUUUGUAGGGCAGCCCGC